GACAGACAGACAGACAGGUCUACCAAGGGGAGAGAAUGUGAGACAGACAGACAGGUCUACCAAGGGGAGAGAAUGUGAGACAGACAGACAGACAGACAGACAGACAGACAGACAGGUCUACCAAGAGGAGAGAAUGUGAGACAGACAGACAGGUCUACCAAGAGGAGAGAGUGUGAGACAGACAGACAGGUCUACCAAGAGGAGAGAGUGUGAGACAGACAGGUGUAGUUGGAUGGUAGGACCAAGGGAAUAGAAGAACCAAGGGAUAUCAAAGGUUCCAGUGCGGUAUGCAGAUGGUCGGGUGGGACUGGGGAAAUUGCUCACCCUUUGAAAUGGCCGCUAAUCUGGAAUCACCUGAGAGUUUCCUGACCUGUUUGAUUGUAUUGAGCCUUUAAUCAAGAUCCCACAGCAGCUAUAUAGAUGAUCUACAU
ensembl:lncRNA